UACGUAGGGUGCAAGCGUUAAUCGGAAUUACUGGGCGUAAAGCGUGCGCAGGCGGUUAUGUAAGACAGGGGUGAAAUCCCCGGGCUUAACCUGGGAACUGCAUUUGUGACUGCAUAGCUAGAGUACGGUAGAGGGGGAUGGAAUUCCGCGUGUAGCAGUGAAAUGCGUAGAUAUGCGGAGGAACACCGAUGGCGAAGGCAAUCCCCUGGACCUGUACUGACGCUCAUGCACGAAAGCGUGGGGAGCAAACGGG
rnacentral:rRNA from 1 species